AUCCAGGAGCCUGGCGGUGCCGUGCCUUGAACCGUGUCAGGCCCGAGAGGGAGCAGCACUAAGGGGAAUCCGGCAAGUGACCGGGAUCUCCUGGAUCUC
rnacentral:SRP_RNA from 1 species